AAGUGCCCUACGCGGCCCCUGCCAGCCUGCAGGGGACAGCGAGCGGCGGCGGCGGCCACCGUCGGGUGCCCCGGGCCGCCCGGCUCAGCUCGGUUCCCGCAGCCGCGCGGCGUCCGCGCAGCGCCCAGCGACCCCUGUCGGGGGUUCCCGGCAGCCCGGCCGGCGCGCAGCGAAGGGGCUGCGCCGGGAGCGCCCAGCCCAGGCUCCUCCCGGUGGCGUGUCCGCGCCUCGGGGUGGGGGUGUGGUGGGGAGAGGGAGGGGGCGAGGCGAGGGGAGGGUGAGAAGGAGGCGCCAGCUCCAACCUGCGGGGGGAGGUGGGUGGCUGUGGGGCAAUUGAAAAAGAGCCGGCGAGGAGUUCCCCCAAACUUGUCGGGACUCCGGGCUCGCGCGGAGGGCAGGAGUGCAGCGACGCGGGACAGGAAUCGCCUCUCCCGCCUUGGCUGCGAGGGCGCCGGCCGUGCGGGACUCAGCGCGACCUCGGGACGCAGCGCCCGCCAGUUCCAGGUGGUCGGGACCGCACGCCGCGCCGCGCCGCUCCGUGCAGGCGACAAGCGACGCCCCGGCUCGGUUAGCGCCCCAGCCCGCCGCCCGCUGCCCCGGAGGGCCAAACUUUCCCCAAACCCUAUCCGAACCCUUGGACCAAACUUGUCGCGCGUCGCCUUCUCCGGGAGCCGUCCGCGUACAGCGCUCACUCCUCCGGCGAGAUGUCCGAGCGCAAAGAAGGCAGAGGCAAGGGAAAGGGCAGGAAGAAGGAGCGAGGCUCGGGCAAGCCCGAGCCCGCAGAGGGCGACUCGCGGCCAGCCUUGCCUCCCCGGUUGAAAGAGAUGAAAAGUCAAGAGUCAGCGGCAGGCUCCAAACUAGUGCUUCGGUGUGAAACCAGUUCUGAAUACUCCGCUCUUAAGUUCAAGUGGUUCAAGAAUGGGAAUGAGUUAAACCGAAAAAACAAACCACAAAACAUCAAGAUACAAAAAAAGCCAGGGUAAGUAUGAUGCAUACAG
rnacentral:lncRNA from 1 species